GACACUGCACAAGAGAGAAUGCCGGUAUGAGUAGCGAGAGGCAUGCGAGAAACAUGCCCGUCGAAAGCCCAAGGUUUCCUGGGGAAGGUUCAUCCGCCCAGGGUAAGUCGGGGCCUAAGCCGAGGACGGAAGUCGUAGGCGAUGGACAGCAGGUGUAGAUUCCUGCACUACCGAUGGAAUGAAGCAGUGACACAGAAGGAUAACUCGAGCAGGGUGAUGGUCAACCCUGUGCAAGCAUUGAGGUUGGGUUGUAGAGAAGUACGCAAUCCUAUAAGCUGAGAUGAGAUGCGGACCGAAAUUUCAGUAGGGAAGCGAGUGAGUUCACGCUGGCGAGAAAAGCUGCUAGUACAUCCAAAGGUACCCGUACCGGAAACCGACGCAGGUGGGCGAGGAGAGAAUCCUGAGACGAACGGGAGAACCCUUGUUAAGGAACUCGGCAAAAUGACCCCGUAACUUCGGGAUAAGGGGUGCCUGCGAGAGCAGGCCGCAGAGAAUAGUCACAAGCGACUGUUUAGCAAAAACACAGGUAUCUGCGAAAGCGAGAGCUGACGUAUAGGUGCUGACACCUGCCCGGUGCUGGAAGGUUAAGGGAACAUGUUAGAGCAAUCGAAGCAUCGAACCGAAGCCCCAGUAAACGGCGGCCGUAACGAUAACGGUCCUAAGGUAGCGAAAUUCCUUGUCGGGUAAGUUCCGACCCGCACGAAUGGUGUAACGACUUGUGAGCUGUCUCAACAGGGGGCCCGGUGAAAUUGAAGUAUGGGUGAAGAUGCCCAUUACCCGCGACUGGACGGAAAGACUCCGUAGAGCUUUACUGCAGCCUGAUAUUGAGUUUCGGUAACUGAUGCACAGGAUAGGUGGGAGUCUGAGAGACAUGGGUUUCGGCUCAUGUGGAGACGGUGUUGGGAUACCACUCUUCGGUUACUGAAACUCUAACAUAGCUCUGUGAAACCAGAGGAUGGACUGUGUCAGGUGGACAGUUUGACUGGGGCGGUCGCCUCCGAAAGAGUAACGGAGGCGCCCAAAGGUACCCUCAGAAUGGAUGGAAACCAUUCGAAGAGCGCAAAGGCAGAAGGGUGCCUGACUGCGAGAUUGACAAAUCGAGCAGAGACGAAAGUCGGGCUUAGUGAUCCGGCGGUAUUGAGUGGAAAAGCCGUCGCUUAACGGAUAAAAGCUACCUCGGGGAUAACAGGCUGAUCUCCCCCAAGAGUCCACAUCGACGGGGAGGUUUGGCACCUCGAUGUCGGCUCGUCGCAUCCUGGGGCUGAAGCAGGUCCCAAGGGUUUGGCUGUUCGCCAAUUAAAGCGGCACGCGAGCUGGGUUCAGAACGUCGUGAGACAGUUCGGUCCCUAUCCAUCGUGGGCGUAGGAGUCAUGAGAGGAGCUGUUCCUAGUACGAGAGGACCGGAAUGGACGCACCACUGGUGCAACUGUUGUCGUGCCAACGGCAUAGCAGGGAAGCGAAGUGCGGAUGGGAUAAACGCUGAAGGCAUCUAAGCGUGAAGCCCACCUCAAGAAUAAGACUCCACAAUAGACCCCUGGAGGACUACCAGGUAGAUAGGUCAUCGGUGGAAGCGCUGUAAGGCGUGUAGCUUGAUGAUACUAAUCGGUCGAAAGCUUCU
rnacentral:rRNA from 1 species